UUUCCGGCGGGAGCCGCUCACCUGCUCGCACUGCGCUUUGCUGUUGCCCGCGGCCGGCGCCGCCUCCCGCUCCUGCUCUGGUGCGGUAUCCGCGGCUCCCGCAAGAGGGGUGACCGACCGCUGGUACCGCCCUGGGGGGUCAGUGGGGAAGGAGUUUUGUUUUACGAUUGCGUUUCUCGCCGCAGUGUUCUGCAUGGCAGACAGAAACUCAUCCGCACACAGCCCGCUUAAAACCCCAUUGCGGCGUCCGGCGCUGAAACGGUUACCUUCAGUGGCAAGGGCUGCACAGGAACGACCCUGACGCCUCAGUAAUUCAAUUAGUCAGGUUUCUAGAAGGUGGAGUUGGGUGGUUUUUUUGGCAUGGAGGGGGAGGAGAAGCCUGGGACAACGCCUCCUUUCUCGUGUUUCGAGCCAAUGGCGUCGACGUAUUAAAAAAAAAAAAAAAAGAAAAAAAAAGAAAAAAAAAAAAAACCAACCCAAGCUGUAAGCAAACAGCAGGCUGUACGCUGAGUGGCUGUGCGGGCUGACCCCCCCUUCCACAAGUAAACUGCAUGCAAAAACGCCACAUGAUCCAGCAGCAGCGCCCGUGCUCCGAGCUGGCAGCCUGCACCUCCACCUCCUCCUCGCCUCCUUCCCUCCAGCACACCGGCGCCAGCUCCUGCCUCGGAUACACGCGCGUGCACAAGUUGAUGUUCCUGGGACUGGACCCUGCUUUAUCACGGAGAGGUUCCGGGAGACUGAAGGAGCAGAUUUCCGCACGCCGCCGUGUCCCUCCGUUCGCACCCCUAGCAGAAGAGGCGAGCCAAGACCAGCACCAUUAGAGGAGUUUGCAGGCUUGAUUUUCUAGUCCAAGGUUCUGCUUUUCUACGCCCUCUCAUAGAACAGUUUUUUUAAUUUCCA